rnacentral:rRNA from 1 species
UACGUAGGGGGCGAGCGUUGUCCGAAUUCACUGGGCGUAAAGCGCGCGUAGGCGGACUAUUAAGUUGAUGGUGAAAUCCCGGGGCUCAACCUCGGAACUGCCUUCAAAACUGAUAGUCUUGAGGUUUGGAGAGGGAAUUGGAAUUCCAGGUGUAGCGGUGAAAUGCGUAGAUAUCUGGAGGAACACCCAUGGCGAAGGCAGAUUCCUGGCCAUAUCCUGACGCUGAGGUGCGAAAGCUAGGGUAGCGAACGGGAUUAGAUACCCCGGUAGUCCUAGCCGUAAACGAUGGAUACUAGGUGUUAGAGGUAUCGACCCCUCUAGUGCCGAAGCUAACGCAUUAAGUAUCCCGCCUGGGGAGUACGACCGCAAGGUUGAA